CACUCUUUUUCUUCAAAAUGAUGAGGGGGUGCAGAGGGGUAGGGACAAACCUCUCCCUCCUUUGUCACUUUAGCUGGCAAGCAAACCUGCUCUGUCACCUCUUCUUUUACUUCGUUGUACUCUCCUUCUUCCUCUGAUUCCUCCUCCUCGUCAUGUGUGGAAAGGCUCCAAGGUGGAAUGAACCAGAGCCCACACUGACCAGACAGUUAUAGGAAUAUCCUCAGCACCAUCCUUAUAUGCCUUUUUCAGUGUGCUGCCUACCUUUUCCUAGACCUCUAUAUUCAUACUUCCUUGGUCCGGAAACCAGGGGCAAUAUUUCUCCACCGCACUAGAAAUCUGCAUAAGUCAGCUAGUGCUAACCUUCAUUCCCCCUUUUCCGAGGAGCUGCCGAAGCAGACUCAAAUAAGUCACCUGCCUGCUCGACCCUUGUCCCAUUGUUACCCUGAUGUUUCUGAGCUCCCCUUCUUACUUACCAUGGGGAUUGCUUAAGAGUACUCUGGGUCCUCCAGCAUAGUUUCACGUUCUCCACCCAUCGCUCCAGUGACCCUUCAACCCAAGUUUGAGCCCCAUGUUGGGUGCCACUUGUGGAGACCACCAACCCAGCGGCAUGAGAGGAAUGAAAAAAAAAAAAAAAAAGACAGAGAAAUAAAGUGCAAAGUGGGAAUCAGGGGGCUAACAGCCUUCAGAGCUGACAGCCACGAAUAGAGUUUGACCCACUUAUUUAUUGACAGCAAGCCGGUGAUAAGCAUUGUUUUUAUAGUUUAUAGAUUAGCUAAAAGCAUUCCUUACAGGAAACAAAGCAUUCUUAGCGAGGAGCAGAGUAACAGUCUCUGGCUGAUUAUCUGCAGCAAAAAUAUGUUGUUACAGCACAGGCCACUCAUGCUAUUGUUUGUGGUUUGAGCAGUUUUCUGCUCUGGGUGGGCCAGGUGUUCCUUGCCCUGCUCCAGUAAACCAACAACUUCUAGCAGUUUGUGUCAUAGCCAUCACUAGCACGUCACAUUGCUGCAGAAAACCUGUUUAUGGCCAGUUUCUUUAAGUCCUGUUUAUGACAGGCUUAAGGCCUAUUCCCAGCAGAUAUGGGUGUCCAAAGUGGGUCCUGGAACCAAUCCUCUGGAUGCCAAGGGACAACUGUGUUUGAACCACGGUUUGAGUCUGGAGAGAUUAAUGACAAGAGUUGCUAAGCAUGGGAAGGAUUUCUAUGGUGGGACUGCAUUGGACCACCUCUGAAUGUGUGUAUUAUGACUCAUUGGAGCCUGUUGUGUUAGCCCAUAGGGAGGAUAAUUAUUGAUUGAAAGCUGCAUAAGUCAGCUAGUGCUAACCUUCAUUCCCCCUUUUCUGAGGAGCUGCUGAAGCAGACUCAAAUAAGUCACCUGCCUGCUUGACCCUUGUCCCAUUGUUACCCUGAUGUUUCCAAGCUCCCCUUCUUACUUACCAUUGCUCAUCCUCUAUAGUUCAGUCAAUUGAAUAUGCAGUUUAGUAAAUUAAACAAAUAUAAAUUAUUAUUUGAUUGGGGUUAGUGGGAUAAUAAUAAGAUUUACUCAGAGUAUCCUAAAAACUCCCCGUUUUAUUUAGUUUUGUGAAAUUACAUCCUCUUUCCAAUUCUGCAACAUUUCCUUGCAUGUUAAAACAUUCUUCCCUGAACCCAAAAUGAGUCUUUUACAACCCAUCUCUGAUACAAGAAAAAAAGAUAUUUCAACGAAAAACAGAGCUUGAUUUUGUACCUAAGCUAAAAACAAACAAAACAAAACAAACCCAGAAGUGUACCUGCUCUGCUCAUUCCCUUGUGCCCAAGAGAAAAAAAAAAAAAAAAAAA
ensembl:lncRNA